CCUUCGGCAACUAGGGGGCGAACCCUGACCGAGCAACGCCGCGUGAGUGAAGAAGGUUUUCGGAUCGUAAAAGCUCGUGUUGUAAGUCAAGAACGGGUGUGAGAGUGGAAAGUUCACACUAUGACGGUAGCUUACCGAGAAAGGGACGGCUAACUACGUGCCAGCAGCCGCGGUAAUACGUAGGUCCCGAGCGUUGUCCGGAUUUAUUGGGCGUAAAGCGAGCGCAGGCGGUUUGAUAAGUCUGAAGUUAAAGGCUGUGGACUCAACCAUAGUUCGCUUUGGAAACUGUCAAACUUGAGUGCAGAAGGGGAGAGUGGAAUUCCAUGUGUAGCGGUGAAAUGCGUAGAUAUAUGGAGGAACACCGGGUGGCGAAAGCGGCUCUCUGGUCUGUAACUGACGCUGAGGCUCGAAAGCGUGGGGAGCGAACAGGAUUAGAUACCCUGGUAGUCCACGCCGUAAAACGAUGAGUGCUAGGUGUUGGAUCCUUUCCGGGGAUUCAGUGCCGCAGCUAACGCAUUAAGCACUCCGCCUGGGGAGUAACGACCGCAAGGUUGAAACU
rnacentral:rRNA from 1 species